rnacentral:rRNA from 1 species
AGUGAACGCUGGCGGUAGGCCUAACACAUGCAAGUCGAACGGCAGCACAGUAAGAGCUUGCUCUUACGGGUGGCGAGUGGCGGACGGGUGAGGAAUACAUCGGAAUCUACUUUUUCGUGGGGGAUAACGUAGGGAAACUUACGCUAAUACCGCAUACGACCUACGGGUGAAAUCAGGGGAUCUUCGGACCUUGCGCGAUUGAAUUAGCCGAUGUCGGAUUAGCUAGUUGGAGGGGUAAAGUCCCACCAAGGCGACGAUCCGUAGCUGGUCUGAGAGGAUGAUCAGCCACACUGGAACUGAGACACGGUCCAGACUCCUACGGGAGGCAGCAGUGGGGAAUAUUGGACAAUGGGCGCAAGCCUGAUCCAGCCAUACCGCGUGGGUGAAGAAGGCCUUCGGGUUGUAAAGCCCUUUUGUUGGGAAAGAAAAGCAGCAGGUUAAUACCCCGCUGUUCUGACGGUACCCAAAGAAUAAGCACCGGCUAACUUCGUG